AUACUUACCUGCCAGGGGAGAUAGCAUGAUCACGAAGGUGGUUUUCCCAGGGCGAGGCUAAUCCAUUGCACUCCGGAUGUGCUGACCCCUGCGAUUUCCCCAAAUGUGGGAAACUUGACUGCAUAAUUUGUGGUAGUGGGGAACUGCGUUCGUGCUUUCCCCUA
ensembl:snRNA U1 U1 spliceosomal RNA